rnacentral:rRNA from 1 species
AGCGAACGCUGGCGGCAGGCUUAACACAUGCAAGUCGAGCGGGCACUUUCGGGUGUCAGCGGCGGACGGGUGAGUAACGCGUGGGAACGUGCCCUCUGGUUCGGAAUAACUCAGGGAAACUUGAGCUAAUACCGGAUACGCCCUUUUGGGGAAGGCUUGCUGCCGGAGGAUCGGCCCGCGUCUGAUUAGCUAGUUGGUGAGGUAACGGCUCACCAAGGCGACGAUCAGUAGCUGGUCUGAGAGGAUGAUCAGCCACACUGGGACUGAGACACGGCCCAGACUCCUACGGGAGGCAGCAGUGGGGAAUAUUGGACAAUGGGCGCAAGCCUGAUCCAGCCAUGCCGCGUGAGUGAUGAAGGCCUUAGGGUUGUAAAGCUCUUUUAUCCGGGACGAUAAUGACGGUACCGGAGGAAUAAGCCCCGGCUAACUUCGUG